UAUUUUAACUUGAUUUAGUUAAACUACAAUGGCCAGAGCACUAAUUAUAAUUGACGCUUUGGAGGUAGACGAAAAUAGGUUGAAUAUACUCGAAUCAGUGCGUCUGCGACGCUGUCUUCGAGAUCAAGCUAAACCCCUGAAUUUAUCGGAAAGUUUGUUCAGAAAACAUUAAAGAAUUUCAAAACAUCUAUUUUUACAAUUGUGCUCUGAAUUGAAACCGUUACUACCUAGUUCACAUAGAGGAACGAGAGUCACAGUAGAAUGCAAGGUAUAAUAAUAAUAUUCAAUGUAACAUUUCAAUUUGUGUAAAACGUGAAGAAAAUAAAAGCUUCAUAAUCAUAUCUUGUUUGUCUAAAGUAGCAUAAAUUGUUAUUUUGAUUUCAGACUUAUUUUUAACGAAAUGUUUUAAAUAUUUUUUUAUACAGGUUUUAACAGCAUUAUAAUUUUUUGCAACCGGCUCAUAUCAGAAACCAGUCAGUAUGAACUUUUUGCAUAGUUUGAGUCAAGCUAGUGUAUCCAAAGCCAUUAGGGAAGUAACUAUGGCAUUAAACAAUCUUCAAAUUUUAAAAAAACAUUUAAAGUUUCCACAAACCCAGCAAGAACGUUCACAAGUUAUAAAUGGAUUUUACAAUAAAUUUGGCUUUCCUGGGGUUUUGGGGUGUAUAUAUGGCACUCGUGUUGCACUUGUCAGACCUUUAGAACAUGAAGAGAGGUUUUUUAACCGCAAGCAUUAUCAUUCCAGAAAUGUGCAAAUAAUUUGUGAUAGUGACCUUAACAUUUUAAAUGUGGAUGCAACAUUUGGAGGAGCUACUCCUGAUGCAUUUGUCUGGCGUAAGCCUGAACUGAAUAUGCAUGUACAGAAUCUGCACCAUAAUGGUGAAAUUUUUGGUUUUUAGGCAAGUAACAUAUGUUCUGUUUCAGUAACUUAACUACAAAAAUGUAUUUUCUCAUUUUACUAUUUUUUAAUCAUUAACUCAAUUUACUAUUUUUUUUAAACACUGGGAAGACAGUUAGCCCGAGCCGGUAGGUACAGUACAUACUCUGGAAAUCAAUUUUAGAAUAGUACAAUAAACUUCAGUAGAAUGGAAAGGAAACUUGGUAGUGAUUAAUGAGACAGUAAAUUUUUUUUUAUUAAAUAUAGAUAUUAUUAAAGAUAAAUAUUUCUUCUAUUUAUGUACCAAACUAUUUUUUAAUUAAAAAUAUCACUUGCAGGUGACUCAGGCUAUAUCCACUCAAAAGCUGGCUUCUGACGCCAAUUGUUAAUGCUCUUCCCGGAUCUAUGGUAAUCCUCAUUGCCGUACCAGGAACACUGUUGAACGUUGUAUAGGCGUUUUGAAAGCUCGUUGGAGAUGCUUGUUAGCACACAGAGUACUGCAUUAUGAUCACCAUAUGGUGGCCAAGAUCAUAAAUGCUGGCUGUACAUUGCAUAACAUGGCAAAUAGAUAUGGGCUCCCAGCGCCCCAGCUCCAGCUUCCCGAUGAAGAUGUUGUAAGGGAUGUUUCUCUUCAAAUGGAUAACAAUGUAUUUUUUGGUGGAGAAGAAGAAACACAGCACUUGGCAAGUGGGCGUCGUCAACGUUCAAUGGUGGUUCAAAGAUUAUGGAGGAACAGACGCUAAAUGUUAGUCCAACCUCUCUGUAUUCUAGUAUUUUUAUGUAAGUGUUUAAAGCUGUUGUUCAUAGUUGAGUAAACUGAGAAGACAAGAAUGAAUACAAUAGCCUAGUACUCUCUGCUUAUAAUUAUAAAACUCUCGUUAAUGACAGUCUACAGAUGUUGCAUCUGUAAGGUCACAUCGCAAGCCACUGUCCCGCCAGGGAGCUCAGACUCGUGACACCGCCUUUUAAGCGACGCGUUGAUCUGUGCGCAUUCGAACCUCCAUCAAGGAACAUACAUAGUCAACUUUAGUGAGCUUUUAAUUUAAUUUUAAUUCUGGUAUUGAAUGUUCUUUAAUUAAAGAGUGUUGCCUUUUUAUCACUUGUUUACCUAUAGAUUUCUUAGUCUAUAGGUAAACAAGUGAAUAAUGUGAUUUCUCUUGUUGGUAUUGGCAAUAUUUGAGAUUGUUGCUAAAAUAUCUGAGGCUUUCGUUUGUUUUAAUUGAACGCUGGUGUAAAUAUAUAAUAUAUUUUUCUUUGAGUUAAAUAAGAACUCACCUCAGUUGAACGGUUGCCAGUAGUGGCCGAACAAAGACUGUUCUCUGGUUUCAUUAUUACGGGUUUACACCCGAGGACGUGUAUCGGUGCACGAAAUACAUGAUGUAUGUAACGCUGCUACAACAAUUUACAUCGACUCAUGAGGAUGCCGAUAAAAAAGAAGAAAAAGCAGAUAAUUAUGAAGAAGACGAAGCUCAAUAAGAUCUGAUUUGAUACUAAAACAGACCGUGGAGAAUGCCUACCGGGGAAAUCACGUAAAAAAAAUGCGCCUCGUAUAUUACCUCACAGGUGGCGUGGAAAAGUGUGCAUUUUAUGAAGAAUACAGCUCAGAAUACUUUCAGAUUUCAUUACAAUGGUAUUCCUUACAUACCCGUAAAUGUUCAGGUUGUGAAUUAAUGCAAGGGUACCCUUUUUUUUGGACAAAUUUUGUGAGGUCGUAUUGAGAAAUUAUUUUAAUCUGUCAUGCUCAAUUCAUGUAUUUAUCUUUCUGUUUACCUUGUGUGUUGUGUCGUUAUAUUAUUUUACUGUUUUUCAUUAUAGAGUAGGAUGACCAGUAGAUUGACUAGAAAUUUGUAGUUUUUAAUAGACGAUCCAACUCCUUGCAACAUGAAAUCGAAAUUUCAAAUGAAAUGUAAUAUCGAUUGUGUGCCUAUGACUUCAAUGAAACACAUGACUAACUCUGGCAGAAGUAGGUGAUAGCUACUUCGUAGACUACUGGCAGAAUAUGGCAAGAACUGAAUAGUAUAAUGUCAAGCAUAAUGCUUAUUUUGAAAUGCUAUUGUUUCCGUAGAUUAUAUUUAUUAGUUUCCUAAAAUUUACUAUGGUGCCUGCCUAAAGUAAAACAUAAUUAUAAAAUUCUUGAACUAUUUUUAAAUAACAAUUUCUAUUUCGUAAUUAAGGUAACAUACCAUUUUGGUAUUUGCUAAAAAUAUACAAUCAUAAAACAAUAUUAAUUUAUUUAUUUUUAAUAACGGUGCUAAUUAAUUUUUCCAACAUUUUAUGCUGAGAUGCAUUUACUUCAGCUUGAAGUUGUUGAGCGUUGGCUUACGUACGGGCAACCUCUGCCUGCGUGCGGGCAGCCUCUGCCUGCGUACGGGCAGCUUCUGCUAAAAUCAAAACUGCGUCAGCCAGUUUCCCUUCAGCUUCCACUCGCUUUUUCUCCAGCUCUAUAACCCAGGACGAGUCUACUCUUGUUUGUUGUCCUAUAGAUAAAAUAAUGAUUGGUUAUUAUUCUGAUUGUAGUGAGUGAGUGCAAAGAGUGGCUUGGCUAUGGAAUACAAAUAACUUACUAAAUUUCGUCCUGGUAUUCGCAAUGAAGCUUCUUCUAGGGUGACUUCUAUUCCUGGUCGACGAGAAACUGGGCUAACUAUAAAAACAAUAUUUAUGUACAGUCUUAAAAGAUAUUAGAUAUGUUUGUUUAAAAAUAAAAUAAAAUAUAAAGCUUAUGGUAGACAUAUCAGUUGUCCGUUAGGAAUGCCAGGUGUCGUAGGUAAUAAUGAUAUCCGGUGCACAAAAAAGUUUAUUAAUUAACACAUAAGAUAGGUCGACGACACGAAGACAUACACAAAACCAUAGAAAAGAGAAGGAGUGGAAACGAGUAGAACCGUAACACAAAAUGUUCACAAUAACAGCUGUUGUUAGCGGAUAAACGAUAGAUAGCAAUAAGCGUUCGGGAAGCAAGCGACACGGGCUUCGCGGCCGAGGAUCUCAAACCGACUGGCGCGGGGCGCUGAGUGAUCUGCGCACGCGCGUCGUUCGUGAUCACUGAAGUAGGAAACCUAUGGAAAUGAAACGUCAACAAAAAAUUCGUGCCACUGUGACGUCAUCUGGCCACAAAACAUGGCGGCUUUAGUGCUGCCCAGAAGAUUUUAAUGUUAGUAGGUUUUAUCGAUAAACGUUCUUGGCUUAUUUUAUUUUAAAUAUUGUUGAGUAUGAAUGUAUUUGUAGAAUUUAUACUUUAAUAGGAAUUAAGUAUAUUGUUAUGUGCAAAGAUGAUGUGAUUUAGAUAUUAUGUGAAAUCUAAGACGAGUUCGUGCUUCAAAUUUUCCAAGUAAACGAUAUGACGAUUUUUAAAAUUUGCUACACUGAUUUUAUAAAGUUGUCGUUUGCCGCAAAACAUAAAGAUAUGGCAUAGUACAGUGCCAUCAGCCCAUUUCUAGCAUGCUGAAUGUUAUCGUAUUUUGAGUACGUGUUUUUCUUAGACUAUUACAAUCUAUUUUAAUUGUUUUGCUGACUCUAAAGUCCGUAACAGACUACCGCAGUGCACCUCAAGGAAGGUGCACCGCACCAUUUGAAUCACUCUCACUUGAGAGUGAUUCAAAUUUUAAACUUAUCAAGGGACCGCCUGAUAACAAAAAACACCUACAGAACAUUUAUUCGUUAAUGAAAUUACAAAGUUAUUCCUUGUGACUUCCUCUCUAAAAUCACUUAAUUAAUAAAUAUUUAACGAAUUUACAA